UACAGUGCCUAGCACAAUGGGAUCCUGGUUCAUGACUGGGACUUCUAGAGACUAGAACAUAUAAACCAGUCAGUCAGUCAAUCAAAAACCCAACACGACCUAGAGUUGCAGAACCAGACCCUACACUGAACAGGUCCUACAAUAUCCUUCAGUUGCAGAAAAGCCAGCAGACAAGCUAUGAUUAUAGCUAGACAUCUCAGGAUACUGAUGACACAAACCACUUGAGCUGUGCUCUUCUAAUUUAGAACCCUAUAAGAUGUAUGAGUGUAUGAACUCAGGAAAGGGACCUGGGCAUCGUUGUAGACACCCCAAUGAAGAUCUCUCUCCUCAAUGUGUAGUCAAAUUAUAUAGCAGUUCAACAAAUAUCUACAUGGAUUUCCAUCAUUUUAAAAGAAGUCCUAUGUAUUGUUUCCACAGAAAGGAAGAGUGAAAUAAACAGAAAUAUAUACCCUUGUGAACACAUCUGCUCUCCUAACAGUGAUGCACAAGCAGUCGUACCCAACAUACAUUUCAAAACAGUUUAUCAGCACUAGCAAGUCUUGGUAAAGACAGAUUCAGUUAACUGUUAUUGCACUAUAAACCUGCUGAAAUUACAAAUGCCUGUACAUUAACCUGGACAACCUCAUCAUUACAAAUACACAGGCUGAUGCUGAUAGGUAUGGAAAGACCUCACCAGGGACUGACUUUACUGGACAAGCAAUUUAGGGAUAUUUGAUUUUUGAA